AUGGCGAUGGAGAUGAGGCUUCCGGUGGCUUGCAAGCCUCUUAGCGAGAGACUGGGUCAAGACACUAAGAAACAUCUAGUGGUGCCAGGGGACACAAUCACUAUGGACACGGGAUUCAUGCAGGGCCAUGGAAUGCAUAUGGAAGAAGAGAAGCUCAUUGUAUCUGUUGCCGGCUCUGUGGCGAUAAGUUGAUCUGUGUGAAAGCUUUGAAACCCAGAUACAUUGGUGAAGCAGGAGACAUUGUAGUGGGAAGAAUCACAAAGGUUCAACAGAAGAGGUGGAAGGUGGAGACCAACUCCGGGCUGGAUUCGGUCCUGCUGUUCUCGCCCAUGAACCUUCCUGGAGGAGAGCUGAAGAGAAGAUCUACAGAAGAUGAGCUUGCAAUGACAGGUUUCUUACAGGAAGGGGACCUUAUCGGUGCUGAGGUCCAGGCAGUGUUCUCUGACGGAGCUGUCUCUCUGCACACGAGGAGCCUGAAAUAUGGAAAACUAGGUCAGGGGGUUUUGGUCCAGGUGUCCCCCUCCCUGGUGAAACGGCAGAAGAUCCACUUUCAUGAUUUGCCAUGUGGUGCCUCAGUGAUUCUUGGUAACAACGGCUUCAUCUAGAUUUACCCAACACCUGAGCACAAAGAAGAGGAAGCAGGGGGCUUCACUGCAAACCUGGAGCCUGUCUCUCUUGCUGAUGGAGAGGUGAUAUCCUGGCUUCGGAACUGCAUCAUCUCGCUGGUAACUCAGAGGACGAUGCUGUAUGAUACCAGCAUCCUGUACUGCUAUGAAGCAUCCCUUCCACGUUAGAUCAAAGACAUCUUAAAGCCAGAAAUAAUGGAGGAGAUUGUGAUGGAAACACGUCAGAGGCUUUUAGAACAGGAGGGAGAAGGAGGUACUCCAGAAGGACAGGACUGUGGACCUUGCAGGAGUGAAGACUGUGAUGUGUGGUCCCCAUAUGCGGCUCAGUGAAGACUCGAGAGAUCAUCACUUUGUCUGCAUUGACAGACCUGUGACUGCCUCCAGCCCACAGGCCUGCUUUCUCUUGUCCUAACACCAAGCCUGGAUGGCAGAUGAACAGCGCUCCCUUGGGCUGUCGGCUGAGUCUCAGCAUUAGGGAAUAGUUUCAGGUCUUUCAAAGUGCACAGUGUUCCAGUUGAAUGGACUCCCAUCCUGGAAUAAUACGGAGAAUCCUUUGUCUUCCACUCACUGUCAUUCACAAGGCACAGUGCCCCAUGAAAUUGCCCCAAUAGAAAACAUGGCAUCCCUGACCCCCAAAUGGUCUAUUUUGGCCUCCAUUCCUAUAUCCUUUAAAUGACUGAGAGUGCAGCUGGUAAAGUUGGAAGAAUAAAGUUAACCAAGCAGGCCAGG